rnacentral:lncRNA from 1 species
CAACGAUGCUCUUGGAGGAUAGGGACAGAGACUGCACGCCGCGCCACUCACUUUGUUCAGCAUCUGAAAGCCAAAAGCAAAGAGGAAAAUGAUAAUAAAACUAAACGAUUCAGCUACCGAGCUGUAGCUAAGGGCCAGCCUUAUUUCUCCCAAAGCGACCCAGCAGCUAUGCUUACCUCGGGGUUAAUCUCCAUCGGCUUCAGCUGCAUCUUCGCGGAUGGCACCUGCAGACACAAACCCGAGGAGCCGAAAAAACAGCCGGUGGAGCCGCCCAGGCUGCUGUUAUAAAGCGCCGGCCUCGCUCACUGGGAAAGCCUGAGCAGGGGAGACAGGAGCAGAAACAAGCAGAGGAGGAAGGCCAAGAGGGCUCGAACUCCCCCAUGCACCGCACAGAAUGGUACAAGCCAAGCCCCCAAACCUUGCAGUCUCACUCGCCGCAGUGCUACCCGGACUGGGCAUGGUAGCACGCUCCUGUGAUUCCAGCAGCUGAGAGAGAGGCCGACCCCACAUGGAAUCCAUUGUGCAGUGCUAGAGGAGGUCAGAAGAGGGCAUUGGAUCCUCCAGAACUGGAGUUAUACGGUAAUCUCGUGGUGGUUGUGAACCACCAUGUGGAUGGAUAUUGAGGUCCAAAUGCUGGUCCUGUGCAAGAGCAUCCAGUGCUCUUAAGUGCUGAGCCAUCUCUUUAGCUCCAGUCUCUUAAAAAACAAACAAACGAACGAACGAACAGCAAGGGAGCUGGGUAUGACUACACAUACUCUAAUUCUAGCACUCAGGAUGCUGAAACAGGAGGAUGGCCUGACUGGGAGAUCUAAGGAGAAUCUGUUGCCACCCCCAUCCCUCCCCAUAAAGGCAGAAUAAAAGAACGUCCUAUAAACAAAUAAACAAGCAACCCAAAUAAAACGAAACCAAGAUCUCUCCACCUUUUCUUUGCUUUUUCAGACUUUGUAAUGAGGCCCUUUAGAGUGCAGGGUAUUCGGCAGGACAAGCAGAGCGGGAGACCAUCAGUUCUUUCUUUGAUCAAGAAGACUACGUUCCUUAGCAAACUGGUGUGUCUUAUCUCUUAUGUGAUGAGCCUGGAAAGAGAGCACAGCCACUGAGGAUGGUACAGCAUGGAUGGAUGGUAUGCUACAGAGACUUGGGAGCCCAACUAUGAGUGGCUGACUGGCAUGGUAGGUUCAGGGAAGAAUUGGCCUGUGAAGGAAAUGAUCUUGAAAAGUGGACAAGGUGCAGGAGGUAGGAGUGGGUCCUGGGCAAAGCAGGGAGUAUAUCUCAGCCUCAGGGAAUAGCACAGCAGAGGCCUGUUGAUGCAUGCAAGCACAUGACCUGCUUGCCGAUGGGCGAUCAAGAAUGGGCAAAGCAUCAUGGGUGAUGGGUGGCAGAGGGGAUGAGACAUUCCUUUCUCCCUGCUGAGACUUCCAUUGAACCGAUGAGUUCUGAAUAGUGGGGUUCUGAAUAGAAGAUGUCCCCCCACCCCACCAGUGUAGAAUCUGAAGGGAGGCAUAUAUUACUCUAUGUUACUCUGUGUUGGCGGCGAGCUAUCUGACAGCCAACCUUCCCAUACAUUUUAUUGGGCAUACACUAAUGACAGUAAGUUCCUUUCGCUGUAUGCAAGAGAUGGCUCACACGAUGGAGAAUUUAAUCUUGUUAGUUCGUUAUUUAUGUGUCCUAAAUUUUGUUCAAUAAAAAUGAAACACUCCUAUU